UUCGGGUUAGGCGUAGGAAUGGAUCGUGGUGGCCGUGGCGUAUAAUGGGAUUUCCUGAAUUUCCUGAUGGUUGCGUCCUUUCUCUGAAGGAUCAAACUCCGGUGAAGUUCUUGGGACGAUAUAAUGCAAACAUUUGGUCACUUAGCAGGGGGCUCAACAAGACGUGCUAGUUGAUAUGGUUGCAUAAAGUCAUUCUUACAAGCAGAGAUUGGUACACCUUAUCAACACAACUACGCAUUUUGGAGUCAUGUUACAUGAAAUAAGAGGAGAAGAGGCAUAAUUC